AGAGUUUGAUCAUGGCUCAGGACGAACGCUGGCGGCGUGCUUAACACAUGCAAGUCGAACGGAAAGGCCCUUCGGGGUACUCGAGUGGCGAACGGGUGAGUAACACGUGGGUGAUCUGCCCUGCACUCUGGGAUAAGCCUGGGAAACUGGGUCUAAUACCGGAUAGGACCGCAUGCUUCAUGGUGUGUGGUGCAAAGCUUUUGCGGUGUGGGAUGAGCCCGCGGCCUAUCAGCUUGUUGGUGGGGUAAUGGCCUACCAAGGCGACGACGGGUAGCCGGCCUGAGAGGGUGACCGGCCACACUGGGACUGAGAUACGGCCCAGACUCCUACGGGAGGCAGCAGUGGGGAAUAUUGCACAAUGGGCGCAAGCCUGAUGCAGCGACGCCGCGUGAGGGAUGACGGCCUUCGGGUUGUAAACCUCUUUCAAUAGGGACGAAGCGCAAGUGACGGUACCUAUAGAAGAAGCACCGGCCAACUACGUGCCAGCAGCCGCGGUAAUACGUAGGGUGCGAGCGUUGUCCGGAAUUACUGGGCGUAAAGAGCUCGUAGGUGGUUUGUCGCGUUGUUCGUGAAAACUCACAGCUUAACUGUGGGCGUGCGGGCGAUACGGGCAGACUAGAGUACUGCAGGGGAGACUGGAAUUCCUGGUGUAGCGGUGGAAUGCGCAGAUAUCAGGAGGAACACCGGUGGCGAAGGCGGGUCUCUGGGCAGUAACUGACGCUGAGGAGCGAAAGCGUGGGGAGCGAACAGGAUUAGAUACCCCGGUAGUCCAA
rnacentral:rRNA from 1 species